AGAAUCAACGCUGGCGGCGUGCCUAACACAUGCAAGUCGCACGAGAAAGGGGAGCAAUCCCUGAGUACAGUGGCGCACGGGUGAGUAACACGUGAAUUAUCUACCUCCGAGUGGGGAAUAACUGAGAGAAAUCUUAGCUAAUACCGCAUAAUACCCACGGGUCAAAGCAGCAAUGCGCUUGGAGAGGAGUUCGCGGCAGAUUAGUUAGUUGGCGGGUAAUGGCCCACAAGACGAUGAUCUGUAUCCGG
rnacentral:rRNA from 1 species